rnacentral:lncRNA from 10 species
CGGGCUCUGAACACAUCCCUGAGCUGUAGAGCUGAUGUCUGGGUGACAGGGUAUUCAUUCAUACAAAGAAAACAACCUGGAAUGGCAGUGUUUGGAUUUCUUGUGUGCUUAUUUCUUCAUAGGAUUGAGAAAGGGUGAGGCUAAAGUCCCAGGCCCUCGUGAAGCAAUGAAGAAAGUGCCUUCCCAAGGUUCAGGCCCACACGGCGCUGUGAGGCUGAAGGGGCGCGCUAGAACUUCCUUUCACAGGAUGCCACCUCACCUGAAACCCUCCUUUUCGGCUGCCACCCGAGGGACAAGAUCUCCUGAGUCUGUCCAUGAGUUACCCCGAGGAAAACCCUCAGGCAGCCCCUGAGGGACUCUGUUCUGGACUUGGAAGUGUUUUUCUCAGUGACACCUCUAGAGGGCAGCACUCAACGGAGUCCCACAGACACCUCCCAGCAUUUCCUGCUCAAACACUGGAAGGAUGACCUGCUUGCUGCAACCUCCCUGCCUUGGGGUCCUGUGAUUCUCCUGCCUUGGUCUGCCGAGUGCCUGGGAUUGCAGGCGCGCACCGCCACGCCUGACUGGUUUUUGUAUUUUUGGUGGAGACGGGGUUUUUCCGUGUUGACUGGGCUGGUCUCCAGCUCUUGACCUUGAGUGAUCUGCCCACCUCGGCCUCCCAAGGUGCUGGGAUUGCAGACAGAGUCUCGCUCACUCAAUGCUCAAUGUUGCCCAGGCUGGAGUGCAGUGGCGUGAUCUCGGCUCGCUACAACCUCCACCUCCCAGCUGCCUGCCUUGGCCUCCAAAAGUGCUAAGAUUACAGCCUCUGCCUGGCUGCCACCUCGUCCAGGAAGUGAGGAGUGUCUCUGCCUGGCCACUCAUCGUCUGGGAUGUGAGGAGCGCCUAUGCCUGGCCACCCCGUCUGGGAAGAAGUGAGGAGUGCCUCUGCCCGGCUGCCACCCCGUCUGGGAGAUGAGGAGCGCCUCUGCCCGGCCGCCCAUCAUCUGGGAAGUGAGGAGCGCCUCUGCCCGGCCGCCCAUCGUCUGGGAAGUGAGGAGUGCCUCUGCCCGGCUGCCCUGUCUGGGAAGUGAGGAGUGCCUCUACCUGGCCGUCCCAUCUGGGAAGUGAGGAGUGCCUCUGCCCGGCCGCCACCCCAUCUGGGAAGUGGGGAGCGCCUCUGCCAAGCUGCCCCAUCUGGGAUGUGAGGAGCACCUCUGCCCAGCCACCCCGUCUGGGAACUGAGGAGCGCCUCUGCCCGGCUGCCCCAUCUGAGAAGUGAGAAGUGCCUCUGCCUGGCAGCUGCCCCAUCUGGGAAGUGACGAGCAUCUCUGCCCAGCCGCCCCAUCUGGGAAGUGGGGAGCACCUCUGCCCGGCCAUCCCGUCUGGGAAGUGGGGAGCUCCUCUGCCCGGUUGCCCCAUCUGGGAAGUGAGGAGUGCCUCUGCCCGGCCACCCCAUCUGGGAGGUGAGGAGCGCCUCUGCCCGGCCGCCCAUCGUCUGGGAUGUGAGGAGUGCCUUUGCCCAGCUGCCUCGUCUGGGAGGUGUACCCAACAUCUCCAAAGAGACAGAGACCAUCGAGAACAGGCCAUGAUGACGAUGGUGGUUUUGUCAAAAAGAAAAGGGGGAAAUGUGGGGAAAAGAAAGAGAGAUCAGAUUGUUACUGUGUCUGUGUAGAAAGAAGUAGACAUAGGAGACUCCAUUUUGUUCUGUACUAAGAAAAAUUCUUCUGCCUUGGGAUGCUGUUAAUCUAUAACCUUACCCCCAACCCCGUGCUCUCUGAAACAUGUUCUGUGUCAACUCAGGGUUAAAUGGAUUAAGGGCGGUGCAAGAUGUGCUUUGUUAAACAGAUGCUUGAAGGCAGCAUGCUCAUUAAGAGUCAUCACCACUCCCUAAUCUCAAGUACCCAGGGACACAAACACUGCGGAAGGCCACAGGGACCUCUGCCUAGGAAAACCAGAGACCUUUGUUCUCCUGUUUAUCUGCUGACCUUCUCUCCACUAUUAUCCUAUGACCCUGUCACAUCCCCCUCUCCGAGAAACACCCAAGAAUGGUCAAUAAAUACUAAAAAAAAAAAAAAAAAAAAAAAGAACUAAAAGUUCUAAAGACUUAGAUUCACCUGUAAGUUCUAGGAAAUUGCUCUCAAAACAUUCUGCCUAGCUUUGGAGCAUAACAACCUUAAAGAAAUAUUGAAAAGCCAAUGGCAUCAACACUUGACAACAAAUCAGAAAGCACUUCCUGAAGGAAGCAUUAAUGUGUGAUAUCUACCAUCAAGUUGUAAAUCAGAAUUGUGUUUGGCAGGUGUUGGUAUCUCUUUGCUCAGCAGGAGAUGGAGGUUUGGAGAAGCAACU